rnacentral:rRNA from 1 species
UACGGGAGGCAGCAGUGGGGAAUAUUGCGCAAUGGGGGAAACCCUGACGCAGCAACGCCGCGUGGAGGAUGAAGGUCUUCGGAUUGUAAACUUCUUUAAUAGGGGACGAAAAAAAUGACGGUACCUUAAGAAAAAGUCACGGCUAACUACGUGCCAGCAGCCGCGGUAAU